GCCCCCGUAGCUCAGUUGGUAGAGCAGCACGCUUUUAACGUGUCGCGCGUCGGUUCGAGCCCGACCGGGGGCA
rnacentral:tRNA from 1 species